rnacentral:rRNA from 1 species
GCCCCUUUAUAACCGGGGGGCAUGUGCACGCCUUCUCUUUUCAUCCAUACACACACCUGUGAACUUGUGAGACGGAUUUCGACCCUCUCCGGGGGGGAAAGGUCCGUCUGCUAUACAUAAACUCCUGAAUAAUAAAUUAGAAUGUAAUCGAUGUAACGCAUCUUUAAACUAAGUUUCAACAACGGAUCUCUUGGCUCUCGCAUCGAUGAAGAACGCAGCGAAAUGCGAUAAGUAAUGUGAAUUGCAGAAUUCAGUGAAUCAUCGAAUCUUUGAACGCACCUUGCGCUCCUUGGUAUUCCUCGGAGCAUGCCUGUUUGAGUAUCAUGAAAUCUUCAAAAUAAAUCUUUUGUUCACUCGAUUGAUUUUAUUUUGGACUUGGAGGCUUGCAGAUUCACGUCUGCUCCUCUUAAAUUUAUUAGCUGGAUCUCGGUGAGCUCGGUUCCACUCGGCGUGAUAAGUAUCACUCGCUGAGGACACUGUAAAAGGUGGCCGGGAUUGCGGAUGAACCGCUUCUAAUAGUCCAUUGACUUGGACAAUAAAUACUUUAUGAUCUGAUCUCAAAUCAGGUAGGACUACCCGCUGAACUUAAGCAUAUCAAUAAGCGGAGGAAAAGAAACUAACAAGGAUUCC